GUUUGUGUAUAUAUAUAUAUAUAUUAUAUCUUUCAAUAUCUAUUUGUAUAAUAGAAAUAUUAUAUUUUACGCUUGCUACGUAUAAUGUUCGGUACGAUCGAUUCUCCAAUAAUACAGAAAACCGUCACGUGUACCUUCCAUUGAAACGAGCGUGCGUAUUGACAUACGUUUAUCAUGCAUUUUCUAAGUCGUGGUUGCUACAGAAGACUAGUGAUAGGUAUUCUUAUUUCAGAUAUUUGUUGAUGAAAAGAAUAAAAAAAAAAAA